rnacentral:lncRNA from 1 species
CCACCCUCCACAACGCCCCGCUGGCUCCCAGCUUGGAGAAGCGGCCCCAGCGGGUUACAGGGUCGCGGUCCACACCGAGGGCGCUCGGCCGCACCCACGGGAGCACGAGAAGGCAGAGGAGCGUGAGAAGCCCACAUGUGAAUCCAAGACGGAAGGUUCCAGAAAGGAUGAGGGACGGGGCCCAGCCGUCAGGACUAAGCAUCCUCCAGCACAGAAGUUUCCAGAAGGAUGAGUAUGUGACAGAGUGUAUUGUGUGCGGGUGCAUGUGGGUAUCACAUGGAUGAGUGUGUGCGUGUGUGUCCAUG